rnacentral:rRNA from 1 species
GCGGUUUGUCGCGUCUGGUGUGAAAAUCCAGGGCUUAACCCUGGACCUGCAUCGGGUACGGGCAGACUAGAGUGCGGUAGGGGAGAUCGGAAUUCCUGGUGUAGCGGUGAAAUGCGCAGAUAUCAGGAGGAACACCGGUGGCGAAGGCGGAUCUCUGGGCCGUAACUGACGCUGAGGAGCGAAAGCAUGGGGAGCGAACAGGAUUAGAUACCCUGGUAGUCCAUGCCGUAAACGUUGGGCGCUAGGUGUGGGGCUCAUUCCACGAGUUCCGUGCCGCAGCAAACGCAUUAAGCGCCCCGCCUGGGGAGUACGGCCGCAAGGCUAAAACUCAAAGGAAUUGACGGGGGCCCGCACAAGCGGCGGAGCAUGCGGAUUAAUUCGAUGCAACGCGAAGAACCUUACCAAGGCUUGACAUACAGAGUAAACCGGCAGAAACGUCGGGUCCGCAAGGGAUUCUGUACAGGUGGUGCAUGGUUGUCGUCAGCUCGUGUCGUGAGAUGUUGGGUUAAG